GCGCCUGUAGCUCAGCGGAUAGAGCAUCAGUUUGCGGUACUGAGGGUCAGGGGUUCAAUUCCCUUCAGGCGCG
rnacentral:tRNA from 1 species